rnacentral:snRNA from 1 species
AUACUCUGGUUUCUCUUCAGAUCAUAUAAGUCUUUCAUCUUUUACUAAAGAUUUCCAUGGAGAGGAACAACUCAGAAUUUUAAACUAAUUUUUUGAGGCUUUGCUUUUUAGCAAGGCA